AUUGAACGCUGGCGGCAUGCCUAACACAUGCAAGUCGAACGGAGGUAGGGGCAACUCUACUUCAGUGGCGGACGGGUGAGGAAUGCGUCGGAAUCUACCCUAUGGUGGGGGAUAACACAGGGAAACUUGUGCUAAUACCGCAUGAUGUCGAGAGACCAAAGCAGGGGACCGCAAGGCCUUGCGCGAUAGGAUGAGCCGACGCCCGAUUAGCUAGUUGGUAGGGUAAAGGCCUACCAAGGCGACGAUCGGUAGCUGGUCUGAGAGGAUGAUCAGCCACACUGGGACUGAGACACGGCCCAGACUCCUACGGGAGGCAGCAGUGGGGAAUAUUGGACAAUGGGCGCAAGCCUGAUCCAGCAAUGCCGCGUGUGUGAAGAAGGCCUGCGGGUUGUAAAGCACUUUUGUUCGGGAAGAAAACGGAUCGGUUAAUACCCGGUUCGGAUGACGGUACCGAAAGAAUAAGCACCGGCUAACUUCGUGCCAGCAGCCGCGGU
rnacentral:rRNA from 1 species